rnacentral:rRNA from 1 species
AUAACAGUUAGAAAUGACUGCUAAUACCGCAUAAGACCACAGCACCGCAUGGUGCAGGGGUAAAAACUCCGGUGGUAUGAGAUGGACCCGCGUCUGAUUAGGUAGUUGGUGGGGUAACGGCCUUCCAAGCCGACGAUCAGUAGCCGACCUAAGAGGGUGACCGGCCACAUUGGGACUGAGACACGGCCCAAACUCCUACGGGAGGCAGCAGUGGGGAAUAUUGCACAAUGGGGGAAACCCUGAUGCAGCGACGCCGCGUGAGCGAUGAAGUAUUUCGGUAUGUAAAGCUCUAUCAGCAGGGAAGAAAAUGACGGUACCUGACUAAGAAGCACCGGCUAAAUACGUGCCAGCAGCCGCGGUAAUACGUAUGGUGCAAGCGUUAUCCGGAUUUACUGGGUGUAAAGGGAGCGUAGACGGAGUGGCAAGUCUGAUGUGAAAACCCGGGGCUCAACCCCGGGACUGCAUUGGAAACUGUCAAUCUGGAGUACCGGAGAGGUAAGCGGAAUUCCUAGUGUAGCGGUGAAAUGCGUAGAUAUUAGGAGGAACACCAGUGGCGAAGGCGGCUUACUGGACGGUAACUGACGUUGAGGCUCGAAAGCGUGGGGAGCAAACAGGAUUAGAUACCCUGGUAGUCCACGCCGUAAACGAUGACUACUAGGUGUCGGGCAGCAAAGCUGUUCGGUGCCG